AUAGAUGAGGAAACAGAGACCAAAAGCUCAAGCAGCAGGCCCCGGCUUGCACAGGUAGCAGUGGCAGAGCCUUUGUUCAAAGCUGGGCAGUACCUGCCAGAGGCUGUGUGCAGAAGCACCUGUAUACGACUUCUCACGCCCUUAGGAGUCCUGGGCAUUCAUUAAUUCACCCAGCAAGAAUGCACAGGGUCCUGUUGGGGUGCAGGCCCGAUGCUCAAUGCGAUAAGGAGAGCCAGCUGUUUGUUUCUGCUCAGGCAUUUCCUACCAUUUUCCUGACAGCCCCCCACACCCUGCCGCUCACUUGGGAGCAGACACACCAUUCCCAAGAUGGUGACUCUGUUUUGAUGCACUGGCCUUGGGAGGUCAGGAAAGCUAUGACAGAGUGGGUGCAAAGGCUUUUCUGGAACAGAGACAAAGUACAAAAGCCAUGAUGCUGUGAUCAAAGAUGGAGUCACCGGCUGAGUAAGGAAGGGAGGGAAGCUGUGGCGAGGGGAGGGAGGGUGGCUGUCAUGACGCCCAGAGUCUAGUCACCCGGCCUCAAGGGUGUCUUACCUCCACUUGAGGCUUCGGGACUCUGCCGAAAGCUGCACUGUGAUUGACUGGAGAGGAUAAGGGUGAUGAGCAAGUCAGCAGCUCCAGCCCUGUCAGCACCCAUCAUCUUUGUUUGUCUUUGUUUGUCUGCCUAAAUAGCCUAUCAUGGUUUAUUUCUCAUCCCUCUGCAAAGGUGAUUGGUGCAAGAAAAUGAAGUAUCUGGCAUCUUAUUCAGAGACACAAAACUUCAUACUGAUUAUUGCAUCUGAGGUUGCGGAAGGGAGGGGGAAGGAGGAGGCUGCUCUGUGGGAGCGUGUUUAAGGGGAAACGAGCAGGCACCCACCUGCGGAGGUGAAUUCACCUGUCCCUGGCCUCCUGCCACUUCACCCCGGGCUGCUAGGGAGACAGGAGGGGGAAGAGAAACUGACGGCUGAGGGGAAUUCGUCUCCAGUCUUUAUCAGCCCUCUCCACCCACACCCUUGCUCCCUAGGCAGAGAGCCUGGCAGGAGAAAAACAGGCUUUACUUCGAGCUUCUCUGUCACAUACGCCUUUCCCCUACCCACCUCACCAGCCCAACACCGAGAAGAAGAAAGAAGAAUUGAUCAAGGCUCCCCGGCCCUUGGGGAGGCAUCACACACAGCAUCAGUCAUGCAGUCGUGGGUGUUAAGUUGAAAAAAAAAAGAGUACUCUCCACCCCAAACUAAAAGGAAUGAAAGAAGGAAAUACUUGCGUAUGAAUAGCAGGCUGCCCUCUCAAGAUAGCUCCACCAUCUGGAGGCGAGCCCAGGAGGCAGGAGAGGGAACUGUUCCUGAGUUUCUUAAUCACAGCUCUCAGGGGGCAUCCGCUGCAGCCAGCUGCCCACGACCUCAGCACACAGCUCUUGGCACAACUGCUGGCAGCCCAGCUGUGUUCUGCAUGACCGAAUCGGACACCUCUCACUUCCUCUGCGAACGGAACUUGGUGUUUGGAUGACGUGCGGGCAAGUCGUUUGUGCAAAAUAGCACAUCUCUAUCGUCGGUCUCCCACCCCAACCCCCAGGCC